rnacentral:rRNA from 1 species
CCUACGGGAGGCAGCAGUGAGGAAUAUUGGUCAAUGGACGAGAGUCUGAACCAGCCAAGUAGCGUGAAGGAUGACUGCCCUAUGGGUUGUAAACUUCUUUUAUCUGGGAAUAAAACGUUCCACGUGUGGGAUUUUGUAUGUACCAUAUGAAUAAGGAUAGGAUAACUCCGUGCCAGCAGCCGCGGUAAUACGGAGGAUCCGAGCGUUAUCCGGAUUUAUUGGGGUUAAAGGGAGCGUAGGUGGAUUGUUAAGUCAGUUGUGAAAGUUUGCGGCUCAACCGUAAAAUUGCAGUUGAUACUGGCAGUCUUGAGUACAGUAGAGGGGGGCGGAAUUCGUGGUGUAGCGGUGAAAUGCUUAGAUAUCACGAAGAACUCCGAUUGCGAAGGCAGUUCACUGGACUGCAACUGACACUGAGGCGCGAAAGUGUGGGUAUCAAACAGGAUUAGAUACCCUAGUAGUC